rnacentral:rRNA from 1 species
CCUACGUGUGGCAGCAGUGGGGAAUAUUGGGCAAUGGGCGCAAGCCUGACCCAGCAACGCCGCGUGAAGGAAGAAGGCUUUCGGGUUGUAAACUUCUUUUAUCAGAGACGAAGCAAGUGACGGUACCUGAUGAAUAAGCCACGGCUAACUACGUGCCAGCAGCCGCGGUAAUACGUAGGUGGCAAGCGUUAUCCGGAUUUACUGGGUGUAAAGGACGUGUAGGCGGGAGGUGAAGUCAGAUGUGAAAACUAUGGGCUCAACCCAUAGUCUGCAUUUGAAACUGUACUGCUUGAGUUCUGGAGAGGCAAGUGGAAGUCCAUGGGUAGCGGUGAAAGGCGUAGAUAUACGGAGGAACACCAGUGGCGAAGGCGGAUUGCUGGACAGUAACUGACGCUGAGGCGCGAAAGCGUGGGGAGCAAACAGGAUUAGAUACCCGAGUAGUC